CUGGUCUAGCCACACCUUUUCUCCCUCCUGCCUCAGUGGGCCCCUCCCCCAGCAUUUCCUGUGGCUGGUGCCAGCUUGUCUGCAGCUCAGACCAGCGUUUCAGUCCCUGUUGGAACCCACUGAACUGGCUUCACCUGCCUUUCAAGCCCCUGGACCUUCGAUGGCUCCCCGCGCCUGUGGAAAGGAGCAGCUCAGCCUGAGACAGAGUCUGCCCCAGUAUGACUUUUGACCUCCUCGUCUUGCCCAGUGCCCUGCCUUCAGCUAAAAACUGAGUUCCUCCCUAUGGGUUUCCACCUUUCAAAGCCUGUCUUCACUGUCACUUUGUCCAGGGAGCCAUCCCUGAUUCUCCCAGGUCUCUCAUCUGGGAACUGGGAUGAUAGCGCCAACCUAGCUGGAUUGCUGUGACCGCCAACACAAUGCCUUCUAAGGGUUCAAGGCCUCCCCAGCCACGUGGAACUCCGGCCCUUCAACAGAAUACCCAAACACACCAGCUUUCGAGCAUAUAAAAACCAGAGCUUUACACAUGCUUUGCAAUUGUGCCACUAUGAAGGUAUAUUUGUCAAGGCAGGACCCCCAUACCCUGGGAACACCACAAGCCGCUCCUGAAGGCAAACAGAAGACUCAGAGACAGAGCAGCAGAGCCUGAGCCAUAAGGUGGAGGGAAACAUGCCCCAGCCACCUCCUGUUCUCGACACUGCUGGCCCAGAUCCAGAGUGUUGGCCGUGACCCUUAUGAUGGGUGAGAAGAGGUAUCACACCUUUUCCAUCCCUACACCUGGAAGGAAGGUUCUGCAGAGAGUUCAUGAGAGACGAUAUCUGGAAUGUAAUCAGAGCAUACCUCUCACUAUUUAAGAGGAAAAAAUGAUCAACGAACCUUCAUUUAAGAAAAAGCACAGCGUUCUCAUGGGAACCAAGAAGACAAGGCCUUAAUGCAAAGUAUAUUCUGAGAGAAGAAAACAAGAAGAACAGAGACGAUUGGAUUACAGCAAUUGUUCUUAUAACUCCUCCCCGCCCACCCCCUCGAUGAGAAGCUGGUUUGAAGAACUGAGUAUCAAAUCCCUGCUGAGCUCUGAGGUUCCAGGCAGCAUAGAAAACAGCGCCUGCCUCUCUCCAGGCGUCCUCGUGGAAGUGACAUCGUCUUUAAACCCUGCGUGGCAAUCCCUGACACACCACCGUGAUGCCUAGGGAAGACAGGGCAACCUGGAAACCCAACCCCUUCCUUAAGAUCAUCCAACUAUUAGAUGAUUAUCCGAAAUGUUUCGUCGUGGGAGCAGACAAUGUGAGCUCCAAGCAGAUGCAGCAGAUCCGCAUGUCCCUCCGUGGGAAGGCUGUGGUGCUGAUGGGCAAGAACGCCAUGAUGUGCAAGGCCGUCCGAGGGCACCUGGAAAACAGCCCAGCUCUGGAGAAACUGCUGCCUCGUUUCCGGGGGAGUGUGGGCUUUGUGUUCACCGAGAAGGACCUCACUGAGAUCACGGACAUGCUACUGGCCAGUAAGGUGCCAGCUGUCACCCAUGCUGGUGCCAUUACCCCAUGUGAAGUCACUGUGCCAGCCCAGAAUACUGGUCUGGGGCCCGAGAAAACCUCCUUUUUCCAGGCUUUAGGUAUCACCACUAAAAUCUCCAGGGGCACCAUUGAAAUCCUGAGUGAUGUGCAGCUGAUCAAGACGGGAGACAAAGUGGGAGCCAGUGAAGCUAAGCUGCUGACCAUGCUCAACAUCUCCCCCUUCUCCUUCGGGCUGGUCUCCAGCAGGUGUUUGACAAUGGCGGUAUCUGCAACCCUGAAGUGCUUGACAUCACAGAGGAAACCACAUUCUCGCUUCCUGGAGUGUGUCCGCAAUAUUGCCAGUGUUUGUCUGCAGAUCAGGUACCCAACUGUUGCAUCAGUGCCCCAUUCUAUCAUCAACGGGUACAAAGGAGUCCUGGCCUUGUCUGUGGAGACUGAUGACACCUUCCUGCUUGCUGAAAAGGUCAAGGCAUUCUUGGCUGAUCCAUCUGCCUUUGUGGCUGCUCUCCCUGUGGCCGCUGCCACCACGGCUGCUCCUGCUGCUGCUGCUGCUGCAGCCUCAGCUAAGGUUGAAGCCAAGGAAGAGUCGGAGGAGUUGGAUGAGGAUACGGGAUUUGGUCUCUUCGACUAAUCACCAAAAAGCAACCAACUUAGCCAGCUUUAUUUGCAAAACAAGGAAAUAAAGGCUUAUUAAAAAAAAAAAAAAGAAAGAAAGAAAGAAAGAAAAAAAAAGAAAAUAAAACAACACCUGCUUCCACGGUUGUGGCAGUGGGGUUUAAAGAAAAGGAGCAGGCAGAAAGAGCACACAGUAGUGAAGCACACCCCCAGCCUCUUAAAGGCCACGACAGCCUCAGAGCAGGCAGGAGGAGCACACAGCAGGUGUUUAGCCAGCGUGAAGCCCCCAGCCCCUGACAGGCCACGACAGCCUCAGAGCAGGCAGAAGGAGCACACAGUAGGUAUUCAGCCCUCAUGAAGCAGGCCCCCAGCCCCUGACAGGCUAUGACAGCCUGAGGCAGGACCUCAUGGUGAUCUGUAACCUGACCCCAGAGGAGGACAGCAGGGAGGGCGAGUGGCACCCCGGGAGGCCAGAGCCUGGCGUCCCACCCUGUUACCCUCGUGCUCAGUGUCCAGGGGCUGCGGGUUAGCCAUGGCCUGUACCGAGCCUUAUGAGAGACCCUCCAGCCAUUCGGUGGAGCGUGGAGACCCCUCGUGGCCACACGGAGGACUGCAGCUGCAGCGCCUGACCUCUCGCCAGCAGCGGAGCUGCUCUACAGCCCUGGCAGAGCUCCGCAAACAUUGCUUGAGCUCCUUUUUAUUUUAUUUUUAUUUUUUGAGACAAGAUCUCACUCUCGCCCAGGCUGGAAUGCAGU